rnacentral:rRNA from 1 species
UAGGGAAUCUUCGGCAAUGGGGGCAACCCUGACCGAGCAACGCCGCGUGAGUGAAGAAGGUUUUCGGAUCGUAAAGCUCUGUUGUAAGUCAAGAACGGGUGUGAGAGUGGAAAGUUCACACUGUGACGGUAGCUUACCAGAAAGGGACGGCUAACUACGUGCCAGCAGCCGCGGUAAUACGUAGGUCCCGAGCGUUGUCCGGAUUUAUUGGGCGUAAAGCGAGCGCAGGCGGUUUGAUAAGUCUGAAGUUAAAGGCUGUGGCUCAACCAUAGUUCGCUUUGGAAACUGUCAAACUUGAGUGCAGAAGGGGAGAGUGGAAUUCCAUGUGUAGCGGUGAAAUGCGUAGAUAUAUGGAGGAACACCGGUGGCGAAAAGCGGCUCUCUGGUCUGUAACUGACGCUGAGGCUCGAAAGCGUGGGGAGCGAACAGGAUUAGAUACCCUGGUAGUCCACGCCGUAAACGAUGAGUGCUAGGUGUUGGAUCCUUUCCGGGAUUCAGUGCCGCAGCUAACGCAUUAAGCACUCCGCCUGGGGAGUACGACCGCAAGGUUGAAACUCUAAAGUGAAUUGAC